AAGUCGUAACAAGGUUUCCGUAGGUGAACCUGCGGAAGGAUCAUUAACGUGUUUGGCUCCGGCCGUCACGCCCCUUGUGUACCUCUGGUUUCUUUGGCGCCCCGCGUCAGAAUGAACCCCACUCUGUCACGAGACUGUCCGAGUCGUACGAAUGAUUAAAACUUUCAACAACGGAUCUCUUGGUUCCA
rnacentral:misc_RNA from 1 species